rnacentral:rRNA from 1 species
UGCAAAGCCGCGAGGCAGAGCGAACCCCAAAAAGCCGUCCCAGUUCGGAUCGCAGGCUGCAACCCGCCUGCGUGAAGUCGGAAUCGCUAGUAAUCGCGGAUCAGCAUGCCGCGGUGAAUACGUUCCCGGGCCUUGUACACACCGCCCGUCACACCAUGAGAGUCGGGAACACCCGAAGUCCGUAGCCUAACCGCAAGGGGGGCGCGGGCCGAAGGUGGGUUCGAUAAUUGGGGUGAAGUCGUAACAAGGUACC